rnacentral:lncRNA from 1 species
UAUAACUAGCAUACAGGUGGAUUCCAUUCCAACGACAGGAUAUAUGUGUGACUGGUUCCCUUUUCUCUCGAAGGGACACCAAGGGCCCCCUGGAGUCCCGGGACCCAAAGGGAUCAAGCUAUAUGCCCACGCUCCCUCCGAUUUGAAGGGGGAGACAGGGGAUCUGGGUGAGAAGGGCUGUAAGGGUUCACCUGGUUAUGCUGGCCAGGUCAACUUUAAGGAAAAAGGGGACCAGGGGGGCAUUGGCACUGAGGGAAGACCAGGGAAGGAUGGGCAUCAAGGGCCCGCUGGAUAUGAGGGGAGAAAGGGGAAUCCUGGUUUAGCAGGACCUGAUGGAAUACCUGGACCGUGGGUCAGUCAUUACUACCAUUAA